GACUCAACCACAUCGUUUCUUUCUUCUUCUCAGAGGUGCUCAACUUUAUUCAUCUCUCUCCCUCGGUCUAGGUCUCCACUCUCCAGACACACUCUCUCUCUCUCUCUCUCGGUCUCCCCUCCGGCCUCCCCUUCAUUCCAGCUCCUAGCCUCUAGAGUGCAGAGUGCUAUAAUAUGUGAUUAAAUGGGGCCGAGCAGAUUUGGAGGAUUGGUUAAAGGGCUUGGAGUUGCCAGGAGAAGGCCAUUUGCAACCUCCCUUCCUCUUCCUCCUCUUCCUCCUCCUCCACCGCCGCCGGUGAUGGAACGAUUGUUCGUGGCACUGGUAGCAAAUAAUUGAACCUCUACUCUGCCAUCAACCAAGCGCUCCACAUCGCCUUGGAAACUGAUCCUCGAAUUACUGUUGUAGAGUUGAGGUGGAGGAGAAGAAAGCAAAUGUACGUGGGGAUUUACCGUGUGUGAAUGAGCUUCGAAUGGAUAGAAGAGCCUUUGGUAUAAUGAACUGGGGCCUGACUCCUUUUUAAUAGGAUAUAGGCCUUAGAAUUGGAUUGUGUUGUCUUUGAAUUGUACCUCUGCUAGGUUUUGUGAUUAGUCGGAUCAUGACUUGUGUAUUUAUGCAAGCAUUUUUUCUUGGUAUCGAUACGGAACAUUUUACAUUA